UACGUAGGGUGCAAGCGUUGUCCGGAAUUAUUGGGCGUAAAGAGCUCGUAGGCGGUUUGUCGCGUCGAAUGUGAAAACCCGGGGCUCAACCCCGGGCCUGCAUUCGAUACGGGCAGACUAGAGUUCGGUAGGGGAGUCUGGAAUUCCUGGUGUAGCGGCGAAAUGCGCAGAUAUCAGGAAGAACACCCGUGGCUAAGGCGGCUCUCUAGUACGGUACUGACGCUGAGACGCGAAAGCGUGGGGAGCAAACAGG
rnacentral:rRNA from 1 species